UACUAACGCUGGCGGCGUGCUUAACACAUGCAAGUCGAACGGAAAGGCCUGCUUUCCCUUGUGGAUUGCGGGUACUCGAGUGGCGAACGGGUGAGUAACACGUGAGUGAUCUGCCCCCAACUUGGGUAUAAGCCUGGGAAACUGGGUCUAAUUCCCGAUAGGACUGCAGGGUGGUGCCUGUGGUGGAAAACGAUUUUCUAGUGGUUGGGGAUGAGCUCGCGGCCUAUCAGCUUGUUGGUGGGGUAAUGGCCUACCAAGGCGGCGACGGGUAGCCGGCCUGAGAGGGUGGACGGCCACAUUGGGACUGGGAUACGGCCCAGACUCCUACGGGAGGCAGCAGUGGGGAAGAAUGCACAAUGGGCGGAAGCCUGAUGCAGCGACGCCGCGUGGGGGAUGACGGCCUUCGGGUUGUAAACUCCUUUCGACCGCGAGGAAGCCACAUGGUUGGAAGGGUGGUGACGGUAGUGGUAGAAGAAGCACAGGAUAAAUACGUG
rnacentral:rRNA from 1 species